rnacentral:rRNA from 1 species
AGGACGAACGCUGGCGGCGUGCUUAACACAUGCAAGUCGAGCGGAAAGGCCCUUCGGGGUACUCGAGCGGCGAACGGGUGAGUAACACGUGAGCAACCUGCCCUUAGCUCUGGGAUAGCUCCGGGAAACCGGAAUUAAUACCGGAUAUUACACCGGCUGGCAUCGGCUGGUGUGGAAAGAUUUAUCGGCUAAGGAUGGACUCGCGGCCUAUCAGCUUGUUGGUAGGUAAUGGCCUACCAAGGCGACGACGGGUA